rnacentral:rRNA from 1 species
GACGAACGCUGGCGGCGUGCUUAACACAUGCAAGUCGUACGACAGCAUUCCUUUUGGGGGUGUUUGGAGUGGCGAACUGGUGAGUAACACGUGAGUAACCUGCCCUCUUCUUUGGGAUAACGUGCGGAAACGUGCGCUAAUACUGAAUAUUCUUAUUCUGCUGCAUGGUGGGGUGGGGAAAGGACUGUGGGGUCUUUAGGGGCUUUGUGGUUUGGUGGGGGAUGGGCUCGCGGCCUAUCAGCUUUGUUGGUGGGGUGAUGGCCUACCAAGGCGU